ensembl:lncRNA
CCUGUUGUUUUCCGUGCUCAGUUAGUCCAAACACCACCCAACAAAAACAUGUUGUCCUCACCUCAGGGCCACUGAGAACAUGAGAGAGGCAGGGUACAGAGUAAGACAGGGAACUAUAUGAAGGCCCGAGAGGUAUAUUAAGACAGGGAACUAACUAUAUGAAGGCCAGAGAGGUAUAUUAAGACAGGGAACUAACUAUAUGAAGGCCAGAGAUGUAUAUUAAGACAGGGAACUAUAUGAAGGCCAGAGAGAUAUAUUAAGAC